rnacentral:pre_miRNA from 14 species
AAGCGGUAAUGAGAGAGAGACAGGGAACAAGCAGAGCAUGGAUUGAGUUUACUAAAACAUUAAACGACUCUGUUUUGUCUCUACCCAUGCACUGCCUCUUCCCUGGCUCCCUCUUUUUUUCUCUAU